rnacentral:lncRNA from 1 species
UGCAUUUCUGAACAGUCUAGUGGUUCAACGUUAGUUCCUCUAUAGAUAGAGGGCCAACUUUCCACUAACCCAGCUAGAAAAAGAAACGUGACGACUUGAAAAGGCAAGGCACCAUUAGUGGAAAGUGAGGUAAGAAGAAGCCCAAGGCUAAAAGAAAACAACAAGGGAUUCAAGCCAUGCUUAGACAAGCGUUGUCUGGCUUGCAACACUAAUCCACCCGACCUUUCUUUACGACUUAUCAAAAAAUUGGGGGUCAAUAUCGGCAAGGUGGAUGAAAACCUGCUCUCAGAAGGAAACCUAAACAAAAAAAAACAGAAGAAAUUUCAGAAAACUGAGAUUGAUGGUACUCUGUAUGCUCACAACACCACCUCUGCAAAGAGGAAAGAGUAGUUAGAGAAAAAGAAAAAGGAAAGCAACC